GGAAAAUUCAAAAUCCUAGAAAUUAAGAUGAAUUUCUGAAACCCUCACACUGAGUGUGGGCCUUUCUGAAAGCAUUCUGUGAGGUCAUACUGCAGGGACUUCAAGACAAACUCUGCUACUCUUGGCUACCACGGUUGUCCAGCAGCAUUGCCUUCAGUGUCAGGCCAGAAGCUUACUGCUGCUGACCUGCAAUCCCUCCAUCUGUGCUGUACAUCCUUAAGUACAACAUGGAUGGAAGCAACAGCAGCAGAAAAGCUCCUUCCCAACUGAUUUGUUGUUCUAAGAUAUCAAAUGUUUGGUAUUUUUAUCCAGUGCUUUACUCAGUGCUGCAAAGCACACUCUGAAACCUGAUAAUGAACUGUGUGCUGGAAGAAAAACCCCGAG